GCGGAUGUAGCCAAGCGGUUAAGGCAAUGGACUGUGAAUUCAUCACGCGCGGGUUCAAUUCCCGUCGUUCGCC
rnacentral:tRNA from 1 species